rnacentral:rRNA from 1 species
UACGUAGGGGCUAGCGUUGUCCGGAUUUAUUGGGCGUAAAGAGCGUGUAGGCGGCCAGAUAGGUCUGCUGUGAAAACUCGAGGCUCAACCUCCAGACGUCGACGGAAACCGUGUGGCUAGAGUCCGGAAGAGGAGAGUGGAAUUCCUGGUGUAGCGGUGAAAUGCGCAGAUAUCAGGAAGAACACCCGUGGCGAAGGCGGCUCUCUGGGACGGUACUGACGCUGAGACGCGAAAGCGUGGGGAGCGAACAGG